GAAAUUCAUUUUUCAAAUGCGCAAAUUCAAAGUCUCAGAGUUAUUCACAAUUCGUUUUAAACAACUAGAGUUUUACAGCAAGUAUAGUUUUGCAUAUUUACAAGUCCGGAUCGUCUGUGUGUCCGUCCACGUCACCUGGUGCAGC